rnacentral:lncRNA from 1 species
GAAAAUGGAGACUCAGAGGCAGCUUGCAGGUGUGCACGCUCACAUUGAAACCCUGGGUCUCUUCUCUUAAGGGCAUCGGUUACAUUCGGAAGCAUCAAAGCUCCACUUUGAGAUACCAUCACACUGGGGAGAAGACAUCAGCCGACGGAUGUGCACAGACACUCAGUUCAUGGCAUCUAUCACCAAGUUUCGAAAUUACACCACGAUCCUGUGGAUUGCAGGGCAUUGAGCUCUCUCCGUGGAUUGGUUUCCACAAGUACACGGAGUGAAAAAAAGAACUUCCCAGUAGGCUAUGAGCCGUGAGCAGACUGCGAAACCAUGAAGGAGAGACGACAGGAAUGCCAGAGCCUGAACUCAGCCAACUGUGAAAAUAAACUGUGAUUAUAAGAAGUCUA